rnacentral:rRNA from 1 species
UACGUAGGGGGCAAGCGUUGUCCGGAAUCAUUGGGCGUAAAGAGCGUGUAGGCGGCCAGAAAAGUCCGCUGUGAAAACUCGAGGCUCAACUUCGAGCUGUCGGUGGAAACUUUCUGGCUAGAGUCCGGAAGAGGAGAAUGGAACUCCUGGUGUAGCGGUGAAAUGCGCAGAUAUCAGGAGGAACACCGGUGGCGAAGGCGGGUCUCUGGGCCGAUACUGACGCUGAGGAGCGAAAGCGUGGGGAGCGAACAGG